rnacentral:tRNA from 1 species
GGGAAGGUGGCUCAGUGGUAAAGUGCUUGCCUGGCAUGCAAGAGGCCCUGGGUUCGAUUCCUCACCACCACA